UACGAAGGUCCCAAGCGUUAUCCGGAUUUAUUGGGUUUAAAGGGUGCGUAGGCGGCUUAUUAAGUCAGUGGUGAAAGCCUUCAGCUUAACUGAAGAGCUGCCAUUGAUACUGAUGAUCUUGAGUAUGAUUGAGGCGGGCGGAAUGUGUCAUGUAGCGGUGAAAUGCUUAGAUAUGACACAGAACACCGAUUGCGAAGGCAGCUCGCUAAGCCAUAACUGACGCUGAUGCACGAAAGCGUGGGGAGCAAACAGG
rnacentral:rRNA from 1 species